GGGGAGGGGAGGCUCUCCGAUCUCAUUAACUACACCCCUCCUCUAGGGACAACCUGUACCGGGUGGAGCUGGAGCCCCCCCACGUCCAUGGAGCUGCGGUACCAGCGGAAGCUGACCUGGUGCUCCGACCCCAGCGACAUCAGCUUGUGUCGGAUGAAGGGCAAGCAGGAGGGCGAGUGUCGAAAUUUUGUAAAGGUGCUUCUACUUCGGGACGAAUCCACCCUCUUCGUGUGUGGUUCCAAUGCCUUCAACCCCGUGUGUGCCAACUACAGCCUGAGUCAUCGCUCUUCGAAGCCGUGACUGCCCCAGGUUCAACCUCCACGCCUUUGCUCACCGGCCCUCCACUGGUCAUGCCCUAUCCCCAGACCACAUCAUCUCCUACAGGAAGCCUUACUGGAUACGCCCUCCCAGGCCCCUCACCCGGAGCUCCAGAGGAGGCUUCCAAAGGAGGCCUGUACAGGCUGCAGCAACUUAAACUACAAACCAGUUAUAGGAUGAAUUAGGAUCGAUUCAGACCCAUUUAUUACAGAUCAGUAAAUUGAGUCCCAGAGAGGUUAAAUGACUGACCAAGUCACACAACAUCCAAGGUGGCGCCAGGAUUCCCCUUGGAGGGGGUGGCUGGGGGAGCCAGGGGCUGCUAGGUAUAGACAGGAGCUCUGUCACUCAGUCCCUGUCCCCCCUGCAGAUGGACACACUGCAGCCCCUCGGGGACAACAUCGGCGGCAUGGCCAGCUGCCCAUACGACCCCAAACACGCCAAUGUUGCCCUCUUCUCUGGAAUAGGAGGGAACAAGGUAUGAUCUGCAAAGAGACGUGCAGGAGUGUGAGUUCUCCCAGGAAGCUCCCCGCAGUGAAACCCUCUCCAAGGUAGGAAACCUCUGCAAUCUCCCCAUUAUAGGACAAGAGUCCAAGAACCCAAGCAUCUCCAGCCUUGUGUCUCAUUCUUGCUAUGCUCCACACCCACCUCCCACAAGUGAACCCUUUGAGGGGAGUUGCUGCACCUUGUCUUGUGAUGGGAGGAAAGUAAUCUCAGGAAAUCUAAUAGCCCUUAUUGUACCCAGCAUCCAGAGUGAUCUUCCUAAACUGUGUAUCUGGACAUGUCACUCUUCUCUUUAAAACUCUUCCAGAGCUCCUCACUUUGUGCCACACUGCUUAGCAAGGCCUUUGUGCUCUAGCCUUGCCUACCUGGCUAGCUUCCCCUCUCCUCAGCCCUUCGUCAGAAUCUGCCUAGCCAUACUAAGUGUGCUACGUUCUUGCUUGUCUAUGCGCCUUUGUACAUCUUGCUCCUUCUGCUAUAAAUGCCUUCCCUCUGUCUUCACGUGACUAAUUCUAUUUCCCCCUUCACUACUCAGCUCCAAUUUCAU